rnacentral:rRNA from 1 species
GACGAACCGUGCGAACGUUGUUCGGAAUCACUGGGCGUAAAGCGCACGUAGGCGGCUUUUAAGUCAGGGGUGAAAUCCUGGAGCUCAACUCCAGAACUGCCUUUGAUACUGAGAGCUUGAGUCCGGGAGAGGUGAGUGGAACUGCGAGUGUAGAGGUGAAAUUCGUAGAUAUUCGCAAGAACACCAGUGGCGAAGGCGGCUCACUGGCCCGGUACUGACGCUGAGGUGCGAAAGCGUGGGGAGCAAACAGG